UACGUAGGGGCAAGUGUUAUCCGGAUUUACUGGGUGUAAAGGGAGCGUAGACGGUAUGGUAAGUCAGAUGUGAAAGCCCGGGGCUCAACCCCGGGACUGCAUUUGAAACUAUCAAACUGGAGUGCAGGAGAGGUAAGUGGAAUUCCUAGUGUAGCGGUGAAAUGCGUAGAUAUUAGGAGGAACACCAGUGGCGAAGGCGGCUUACUGGACUGUAACUGACGUUGAGGCUCGAAAGCGUGGGGAGCAAAACAGGAUUAGAUACCCCUGUAGUCCCUGAG
rnacentral:rRNA from 1 species